CUCCUCACCGCCCUUUUCCCUUCACGCUACGAAUACAUUUCACAUUCCAGAAAUACCCUCCCACCACUGCUCUAACACACUCGAGCUCACUCUCUCGUCCCCCUCUCACCCGCCCCUUCUCACUCCCCUCCAGAUCCCCGCCGUCGCCGGCCUCUCCUCGACUCCCUUUCUCUCCACCACCACGCACCCCGUACCGUAGGUCAAAAGCUUGAUUUUUUAGGCGCCGGCGACGAGCUUCUGGGCGACGGAGGCUGGAUCCGCGUGCGUCCACGCCGGCUUCGUAGCGGCGCUUGAUGUGGAGCGGCACUGGAGCAGCGGAGCGGGGCUUUCUUCCUCACCUCACAGCGCCGUCCUCCUCCACGACCACGCAGCCGCAGCGGCGGAGGAGCCGAAUCCCUAGCCAGCGAGCUCAGGGAGCCAUGGGUCCAUGGGGCGACGCCAUGGAAGGGCCACCAACUACAGCAGCGAGGAGAGGAGAAAGGGAGUAGCCUGACGGUCGUCUUCCACCUCCGCCUACGCCCCCGCCGGAAAUAGUACAAUGGCCAAGGAAAUAGGCAGGAGGCGCCGCUUCCCGGAUGGAUAUGGACAUGCUUCUCCAACUCUGCUUCUUCCUGGGUCGCCAUGGAAGAAAGCAGUAAGAAUCUAAGAAAGCUGAAGCCUUCCAGCACACUGCAGCAAUAAGAAGAGCGCAAGUCGAACAAGGACACAGCUCACACACUACGGUGGACAGAAAGUACUGUAAUAUGCAGGUAACUACGUUGCUGAAACAGUUGAUGAUGGCAAACCUAGGGCAUGAUGGGCACUGUUGAACAUAACAAAGGUGGAUCUCCGUCCUUUGCAGCAACAGGAUCUCCGUCCUUUGCAGCAACAGCCGUCGCCUCGCAACAGCCGUCGAGCGAAGGUUGUGGUUCGGACGCCGAGGUUGCGGUGCAGUUGUGCUGAUCGCACAGCUGGCCUCGCAUGUGAACAACGAUGUGGACUGACGGCGACUGAAGUGCCGUUUCUCUUCUCGGCGCAUGCGCGGGUCGGGUCGUUGGAGCUCGUACGCGAGGAAGAACUGGCGUUUCUGUCCUUGGUGGCGACGUGCGUUGGCGGGUCGAUGGGUCGAUGGAGCUCAUUCGAUGGUUUGAUUUUUGGUCGAUGGACCUCGUUCGUGGGUUGCCGAACUGUUUUGCUGUUGGCUGGGCGUGUGAUCGUGGGGUUUGGUUCGUUUGACUGGUGGUCCAUGGGCCGAAUAUCGGAUGAGUUGCCCUUGGUUUUUUGGGCUUGCGGGUUGGAUUUUGUGCGGGCGUGUGGGACACCGCGCAAUGGCUUUCGUACGAGGCGGGGGGAUCGAACGAGGUGGUCGAACCAUCACGACGUUCGAUCCCCCUUUAAUAGUAGAGAUAUGAGGAAUCCACAAAGCAAGUCAACGGAACAGACAACAGCGGCGGAUGUACCUCCAGGUAUAUGUUCAGCUAUAAAUUUUGCUAUGCAUGUCAAACAGAUGUGUUGCAGGCCCGAUGGAGGGGACAAGUUGACGACUAUAACCCGUAUACUAUGCUUGUAGCUGAUGAUGUUGAUGAGAUUUACCCAAGUGGAUAUCAUAAUUUGUUGCUUUCUGUGUGAUCAAUCAGCCCUAACAGACUUAGUCCAGACCAAUUCUAACAGAUCAAGCGUGUGACUUGUAGGAGUCCAUACUACUUUGUCGGAAUGGAGAUCCUUGAACAGACCGAUGGUGAUAGCACAUAUGAUGCUCCAGGCCCGAUGGAGGGGACAAAUGUUGCCGACGAUGUUGACAAUAUAUACCCAAGUGGUCCAGGGGUCUCCGUUGGAACGGAUGAUACUUGAACAGCCCGAUGGUGUUAACACAUGUGUUCAUCAACCUUCUCAUCUCAUGAUGCCUUAUUCUGUCUAAUUUUUCAUUUUAUUUUACAUGAUGCAGACAACCGUACAAGUUCAUUCCUAUAUAAUGAAGCUUCGUUGCCGGCUCCGAGUAAUCUGACACAGGAUUAUGGGACAGAUGUAGCACAAAGUGCAAAUGUUGCUGUACAUGCUCAUGGUCGUGAUGCCUUAGAGGUUUUACCUCUGUCGGAUGCAACAUCCGAACACAUAACAACAGGAUCUGUCAUGAAAAAAACAUAACAGACGGAAAGAGGGAGCAGAAAAACGCCUGGAGGCGAGCUGCUUAUCGGAAGAAUAAAUAGAAUGGUGCGGUCAAGCUCCAAGCUGAAAAUCAUCCUGCCCUUACAAUGACUGAACUAUCUAGCAUCCAACUUAAUAAUGAGGAAAAGAGGGAGCAGAUAAAAGCUCGAAGGCGGGCCGCUUAUCGGAAGAAAGAUGAUGAGAGUUCCAUAAAGCUAAAUACAGAUGUGCAGAAUGUUGCACGGCAUCCUCUCGGUGAUAUCACUAAUGCGUAUCAACCAUCCUCUAUGGACGUUGACGAAAGAAAGGAGCUGAUAAAGGCGCGGAGGCGAGCUGCUUAUCGAAAGAGAAAAGAGGAGGCUACCGUCAAACAACAGAAUGAGAAUCUGUCUGCACUUACGAUAUCAGGUUAAUAUUGGAUGAAAAGUGAUGAGGGUACCAUCAAUGUACAAGCGGAUGUGCAAAAUGUUCCCAUAUCCCCUCCCGGUGAUAUCACUAAUGGGCAUCAACCAACCUCGUUGUACCUUGACGAGAAAAAGGAGCAGAUAAAGGCUCGGAGGCGAGCUACUUAUCGAAAGAAAAAAGAGGAGGCAGCCGUCAAGCAACAAAAUGAAAAUCUCCCUACCCUGACGAUAUCAGGGAAGUUGGAGAUAAACCCGUGUCCGUGACGUCUAUGUAUGUGUGUCCGUGUAGUAUACGAGUGCAUGUCAUAGUCGGUUUGGGUUGACUCUAGGUAUGAACUAUGGGUGCAGACGUUGGACCCAAACAGCUACAACAACAGAGAUAGAUGGGUAUCAAUCACUUCAAUUUGUUGACGAGUUAUAAGACGGCUACACACUAUGUUUUAUUUCUGGUUAACACCAAUUAGUUGAUUGCGUUAA